AGUGAACGCUGGCGGUAGGCCUAACACAUGCAAGUCGAACGGCAGCACAGUAAGAGCUUGCUCUUACGGGUGGCGAGUGGCGGACGGGUGAGGAAUACAUCGGAAUCUACUUUUUCGUGGGGGAUAACGUAGGGAAACUUACGCUAAUACCGCAUACGACCUACGGGUGAAAGCAGGGGAUCUUCGGACCUUGCGCGAUUGAAUGAGCCGAUGUCGGAUUAGCUAGUUGGCGGGGUAAAGGCCCACGAAGGCGACGAUCCGUAGCUGGUCUGGGAGAAUGGUCGGCCACACGGGAACUGAGCCACCGUCCAGACUCCUACGGGAGGCAGCAGUGGGGAAUGUUGGACAAUGGGGGCAAGCCUGAUCCAGCCAUACCGCGUGGGUUGAGAAGGCCUUCGGGUUGUAAAGCCCUUUUGUUGGGAAAGAAAAGCAGCAGGUUAAUACCCCGCUGUUCUGACGGUACCCAAAGAAUAAGCACCGGCUAACUUCGUG
rnacentral:rRNA from 1 species